rnacentral:lncRNA from 1 species
GUUCAACCUAAUAUAGUCUCCAGAAAAUUUCUUAAUCAUCAAGCAGAUAUAUAGAUGAAAUUUUCUCUACUUAAUGAAAUACGUGCGUCUGCACGAUCCCUAAAAAAAGAUAUAGUUACUCACAGGCCCCCUGAUCCGGUCCGUAUCCAGUUUUGAAACCUAACUUUGCAGCAUGCAUUACCUACAAGGCUACAACAAGAAUUUCCUUAAUCUCCAAAAUCCACACAAUAUAAUGCGAAGAGUAACAUAAUAUAGGCAGGGCCGGGGCGCCUACAUCAAAUUGAAGAUAUGCAGGAGCCAGC